rnacentral:rRNA from 1 species
ACAUGCAAGUCCAACGUGAAAGGGGAGCAAUCCCCCGGUAGGGUGGCAAACGGGUGAGUAAUACAUGGGUGAUCUACCUUAGGGAUGGGGAUAUCCUUCCGAAAGGAGGGGCAAUACCGAAUAUUGUCCGGAGCCGUGAAGGGUUCCGGGGAAAGGGAGGCCUCUGAUACAAGCUUUCGCCUUAAGAUGAGCCCAUGGCCCAUCAGCUAGUUGGUAGGGUAAAGGCCUACCAAGGCUACGACGGGUCGCUGGUCUGAGAGGACGACCAGCCACACUGGCACUGAGAUACGGGCCAGACUCCUACGGGAGGCAGCAGUGAGGAAUAUUGCGCAAUGGGGGAAACCCUGACGCAGCAACGCCGCGUGUGGGAAGAAGGCCUUCGGGUCGUAAACCACUUU